rnacentral:misc_RNA from 1 species
AAGUCGUAACAAGGUUUCCGUAGGUGAACCUGCGGAAGGAUCAUUACAGAGUUCAUGCCCUCACGGGUAGAUCUCCCACCCUUGAAUAUCUUACCUUUGUUGCUUUGGCAGGCCGCGUUUGCGCCAGAGGCUUCGGCUUUUGAGUGCCUGCCAGAGGACCACAACUCUGUUUUUAGUGAUGUCUGAGUACUAUAUAAUAGUUAAAACUUUCAACAACGGAUCUCUUGGUUCUG